UUUACUGAGAGUUUGAUCUUGGCUCAGGAUGAACGCUGGCGGCGUGCUUAACACAUGCAAGUUGAACGAUCUCCCGGCUUGCCGGGGGAGAGUAGCGGACGGGUGAGUAACACGUAAGUAACCUACCCUCAAGACUGGAACAACCUGCCGAAAGGUGGGCUAAUUCCAGAUGUGGUUAUGAAGACACAUGUUUUUUUAACUAAAUCCCGCAAGGGGCUUAAGGAUGGGCUUGCGGCCUAUCAGCUAGUUGGUGAGGUAAAGGCUUACCAAGGCUAUGACGGGUAGCUGGUCUGAGAGGAUGAUCAGCCACAAUGGAACUGAGAUACGGUCCAUACUCCUACGGGAGGCAGCAGUGAGGAAUUUUCCGCAAUGGGCGAAAGCCUGACGGAGCGACGCCGUGUGUGUGACGAAGUCUUUCGGGAUGUAAAACACUGUCAGAGGGGACGAUAUUGACGGUACCCUCAGAGGAAGCCACGGCUAACUACGUGCCAGCAGCCGCGGUAAUACGUAGGUGGCAAGCGUUAUCCGGAAUUAUUGGGCGUAAAGCGCGCGUAGGUGGUUUUGUAAGUCAAAUGUUAAAGGCUACGGCUCAACCGUUGUUUGCAUUUGAUACUGCAUUACUAGAGAGAAUCAAAGGGAAGCGGAACUUGCAGUGUAGCGGUGAAAUGCGUAGAUAUUGCAAGGAACACCAGUGGCGAAGGCGGCUUCCUAGGGUUUUUCUGACACUGAGGCGCGAAAGCUAGGGGAGCAAACGGGAUUAGAUACCCCGGUAGUCCUAGCCCUAAACUAUGUUCACUAGGUGUUCGAGGUAUCGACCCCUUGAGUGCCGCAGCUAACGCGUUAAGUGAACCGCCUGGGAAUUACGGCCGCAAGGCUAAAACUCAAAAGAAUUGACGGGGGCCCGCACAAGCGGUGGAGCAUGUGGUUUAAUUCGAUGCUACGCGAAGGACCUUACCUGGGUUUGACAUCCCGCCAGUAGAAACCUGAAAGGGUAACGAUUCCGAUUUAUCGGGAAAGCGGGACAGGUGCUGCAUGGCUGUCGUCAGCUCGUGUCGUGAGAUGUUGGGUUAAGUCCCGCAACGAGCGCAACCCCUAUUGUUAGUUGAUAACGUUAAGUCGAUCACUCUAACGAAACUGCCUCGGAUAACGAGGAGGAAGGUGGGGACGAGGUCAAGUCAUCAUGGCCCUUAUGCCCAGGGCCACACACGUGCUACAAUGCUAUGUAUAAAGAGAAGCAAAUCCGCAAGGUGGAGCAAAUCUCAAAAAGCAUAGCUCAAUUCGGAUUGCAGGCUGCAACUCGUCUGCAUGAAGCUGGAAUCGCUAGUAAACGCAGAUCAGACGCGCUGCGUUGAAUACGUUCUCGGGCCUUGUACACACCGCCCGUCACACCAUGGAAGUCAGAAACACCCAAAGUUUCGACUUGGUCGGAAUUAAGGUGGUGCUGAUGACUGGGGUGAAGUCGUAACAAGGUAGCCGUACCGGAAGGUGUGGCUGGAUCACCUCCUUU
rfam:Candidate division WOR-1 bacterium RIFOXYB2_FTLL_36_35 rifoxyb2_full_scaffold_1362, whole genome shotgun sequence.